rnacentral:lncRNA from 1 species
CAUCGGAGCCCGGGCGAGCUGAGGUUGGCCACCACCGCCGAGCCUGCUACCUUCCUUGCGCUCCCGCGCCACCCCGCGCCCUGCUCCGGGGGUUCCCACCGGGGUGGGGUCCGAGCAGGGUCAGCCCCGGCCGCGCCGCCGUCGGGGCCGUCCCCCGGCCAGCGGUCCCUCCCUCCUGGCCAGCCUCUGGCCGCCCAGCCUCCUGGGUGUGGGGCUCAGACAAGCCCCGCAGACCGUGAUCGAACGCCCGGGGCGGCCCCCGGCGGCGGGGCCGCGCCGGCUACAUUGUUUCCUCCCCCCGGACUCCCUCCCGCCCCCUUCCCCCGCCUUUCUUCCCUCCCCGCCUGGGGCUGCGCGGCAGUCCCCCUGCCUGUCUGGCGGUCCUUCCUCCCUCUCUUUUCGCAUCCAUACACCUCUUUGUACCCACCCCCUGGGGACCCCUGCGCCCCUCCCCUGCCCCUUGGCCGCAUGGACUGUCCUGUAGGCCACUGAUGCCGCCCGCGGUGAGGAGGCCUGGACCGCAGUGCCCCCAGAGAGGUAAGUGUUGGGUAGCCCCGAAGGAGGUGGGUGUCCGAAUGCCCCCUAGAAGGGAGGAGGUCGCUCGUCCCGCCUCUAUAGCCACCG